AUUGAACGCUGGCGGCGUGCUUAACACAUGCAAGUCGAACGAAGUGGCGAACGGGUGAGUAACGCGUAAUCAACCUGCCCUUCAGAGGGGGAAAACAGUUGGAAACGACUGCUAAUACCGCAUAAGGACGGCGGGGAUUGCGUGUGAUUAGCUAGUGGGAGGGGUAACGGCCCACCAGGGCGAGGAUCAGUAGCCGGUCUGGAGGGAUGAACGGCCACAUUGGGACUGAGACACGGCCCAGACUCCUACGGGAGGCAGCAGUGGGUAAUCUUCCGCAAUGGACGAAAGUCUGACUGAGCAACGCCGCGUGAGUGAUGACGGCCUUCGGGUUGUAAAGCUCUGUUAAUCGGGACGCGGUACCGGAAUAGAAAGCCACGGCUAACUACGUGCCAGCAGCCGCGGUAAUUC
rnacentral:rRNA from 1 species